rnacentral:rRNA from 1 species
ACCUGGUCUUGACAUCCCGGAGACCCUUAGGAAACUAGGGGUGCUUCCAUUCUGGAAGAAUCUGGAGACAGGUGCUGCAUGGCUGUCGUCAGCUCGUGUCGUGAGAUGUUGGGUUAAGUCCCGCAACGAGCGCAACCCUUGCCUUUAGUUGCCAGCAGUUCGGCUGGGCACUCUAAAGGGACUGCCGGUGUUAAACCGGAGGAAGGUGGGGAUGACGUCAAGUCCUCAUGGCCUUUAUGACCAGGGCUACACACGUACUACAAUGGCCGAUACAAAGGGCAGCGACACUGCGAGGUGAAGCCAAUCCCGUAAAAUCGGUCUCAGUCCGGAUUGGAGUCUGCAACUCGACUCCAUGAAGUUGGAAUCGCUAGUAAUCGUGGAUCAGCAUGCCACGGUGAAUACGUUCCCGGGCCUU